GAUGAACGCUGGCGGCGUGCCUAAUACAUGCCAGUCGAGCGAACAGACGAGGAGCUUGCUCCUCUGACGUUAGCGGCGGACGGGUGAGUAACACGUGGAUAACCUACCUAUAAGACUGGGAUAACUUCGGGAAACCGGAGCUAAUACCGGAUAAUAUAUUGAACCGCAUGGUUCAAUAGUGAAAGACGGUUUUGCUGUCACUUAUAGAUGGAUCCGCGCCGCAUUAGCUAGUUGGUAAGGUAACGGCUUACCAAGGCGACGAUGCGUAGCCGACCUGAGAGGGUGAUCGGCCACACUGGAACUGAGACACGGUCCAGACUCCUACGGGAGGCAGCAGUAGGGAAUCUUCCGCAAUGGGCGAAAGCUUGACGGAGCAACGCCGCGUGAGUGAUGAAGGUCUUCGGAUCGUAAAACUCUGUUAUUAGGGAAGAACAAAUGUGUAAGUAACUAUGCACGUCUUGACGGUACCUAAUCAGAAAGCCACGGCUAACUACGU
rnacentral:rRNA from 1 species